rnacentral:rRNA from 1 species
GAUGAACGCUGGCGGCGUGCCUAACACAUGCAAGUCGAACGGAAAGGCGCUGCUUUUGUGCGGUGCUCGAGUGGCGAGCGGGUGAGUCACACGUGAGUAACCUGCCCUUGACUUUGGGGUAACUUCAGGAAACCGGGGCUCAUAUACGAUAUAAGCUCCUGCUCCGUGGUGGGGAUUGGAAAGUUUCGGCGGUUCGGGAUGGGCUGGCGGCUUAUCAGCUUGUUGGAGGGGUAGUGGAUGACCAAGUCUUGUACGGGUAGCCGGCCUGAGAGGGGGAACGGCGACAAUGGGACUGAGGGACGGCCCAGACGGGUACGUGAGGCAGAAGGGGGGAAUAUUGCACAAUGGGCGGACGUGAGAGGCAGCAACGCUGCGGGCGGGAAGACGGCUUUCGGGGGGUAAACAGCUUUCGCCUGUAACGAAGCGGGAGUGACGGUAACGGGUAAAGAAGCACCGGCUAACUACGUG